rnacentral:rRNA from 1 species
CCUACGGGAGGCAGCAGUGGGGAAUAUUGCACAAUGGGGGAAACCCUGAUGCAGCGACGCCGCGUGAGUGAAGACGUAAUUCGUUAUGUAAAGCUCUAUCCGCAGGGAAGAAAAUGACGGUAACUGAGUAAGCAACCCCGGCUAACUACGUGCCAGCCGCCGCGGUAAUACGUAGGGGGCAAGCGUUUUCCGGGGUUACUGGGUGUAAAGGGAGCGUAGACGGGAGUGCAAGUCAGGAGUGAAAGGCUGGGGCUCAACCCGCGGACUGCACUGGAAACUGUACGGCUUGAGUGCAGGAGAGGUAAGUGGAAUUCCGAGUGUAGCGGUGAAAUGCGUAGAUAUUAGGAGGAACACCAGUGGCGAAGGCGGCUUACUGGGCUGUAACUGACGUUGAGGCUCGAAAGCGUGGGGAGCAAACAGGAUUAGAUACCCUAGUAGUC